rnacentral:rRNA from 1 species
GAUGAACGCUAGCUACAGGCUUAACACAUGCAAGUCGAGGGGUAACGAGAGGAAAGCUUGCUUUCCUUGUCGACGACCGGCGCACGGGUGAGUAACGCGUAUCCAACCUGCCCCCAACUAGGGAAUAACCUUGCGAAAGUAAGACUAAUACCCUAUAAUUUCCUCAGAUGUCAUCUGACGAGGAAUAAAGAUUUAUCGGUUGUGGAUGGGGAUGCGUCUGAUUAGCUUGUUGGCGGGGUAACGGCCCACCAAGGCAACGAUCAGUAGGGGUUCUGAGAGGAAGGUCACCCACAUUGGAGCUGAGACACGGUCCAAACUCCUACGGGAGGCAGCAGUGUGGAAUAUUGGUCAAUGGGCGGAAGCCUGAACCAGCCAAGUAGCGUGCAGGAUGACGGCCCUAUGGGUUGUAAACUGCUUUUAUACAGGAAUAAAGUUAGCCACGUGUGGUUAUUUGUAGGUACUGUAUGAAUAAGGACCGGCUAAUUCCGUGCCAGCCGCCGCUGUAA